rnacentral:rRNA from 1 species
AUCUUAGACAAUGGGGGCAACCCUGAUCUAGCCAUGCCGCGUGAGUGAUGAAGGCCUUCGGGUAGUAAAGUACUUUUGGCAGAGAAGAAAAGGUACCUCCUAAUACGAGGUACUGCUGACGGUAUCUGCAGAAUAAGCACCGGCUAACUACGUGCCAGCAGCCGCGGUAAUACGUAGGGUGCAAGCGUUAAUCGGAAUUACUGGGCGUAAAGCGUGUGUAGGCGGUUCGGAAAGAAAGAUGUGAAAUCCCAGGGCUCAACCUUGGAACUGCAUUUUUAACUGCCGAGCUAGAGUAUGUCAGAGGGGGGUAGAAUUCCACGUGUAGCAGUGAAAUGCGUAGAUAUGUGGAGGAAUACCGAUGGCGAAGGCAGCCCCCUGGGAUAAUACUGACGCUCAGACACGAAAGCGUGGGGAGCAAACAG